GGUGCCGUAGCCAAGUGGUAAGGCAGGGGUCUGCAAAACCCCGAUUCGGCGGUUCGAAUCCGCCCGGCACCU
rnacentral:tRNA from 1 species